rnacentral:rRNA from 1 species
ACGGCUCAGUAACACGUGAGCAAUCUGCCUUUAAGAGUGGAAUAGCAACUGGAAACGGUUGGUAAUACCACAUAAUAUACAUUUACCGCAUGAUAGAUGUAUCAAAGAUUUAUCGCUUAAAGAUGAGCUCGCGUCUGAUUAGCUAGUUGGUGAGGUAACGGCCCACCAAGGCGACGAUCAGUAGCCGGACUGAGAGGUUGAACGGCCACAUUGGGACUGAGACACGGCCCAGACUCCUACGGGAGGCAGCAGUGGGGAAUAUUGCACAAUGGGCGCAAGCCUGAUGCAGCGAUGCCGCGUGAGGGAAGAAGGUUUUCGGAUUGUAAACCUCUGUUGACAGGGACGAUAAUGACGGUACCUGUUCAGAAAGCUCCGGCUAACUACGUGCCAGCAGCCGCGGUAAUACGUAGGGAGCGAGCGUUGUCCGGAAUUACUGGGUGUAAAGGGAGUGUAGGCGGGACUGCAAGUCAGAUGUGAAAUGUAGGGGCUCAACCCCUGAGCUGCAUUUGAAGCUGUGGUUCUUGAGUGAAGUAGAGGUAAGCGGAAUUCCUAGUGUAGCGGUGAAAUGCGUAGAUAUUAGGAGGAACAUCAGUGGCGAAGGCGGCUUACUGGGCUUUAACUGACGCUGAGGCUCGAAAGCGUGGGGAGCAAACAGGAUUAGAUACCCUGGUAGUCCACGCCGUAAACGAUGAUUGCUAGUGUGGGGGGGGGUUGACCCCUUCCGUGCCGCAGUUAACACAAUAAGUAAUCCACCUGGGGAGUACGGUCGCAAGACUGAAACUCAAAGGAAUUGACGG